rnacentral:lncRNA from 1 species
AAGUAUUUUUAGCUUGUGAACAUACCCAAAGCAUAAAGUGUCAAAUGUGAAUCUUUGUUAUUUUAUGAUUUCAGGUACCAGCAUGCAAUUCUGUAGAUGAACAAGGUUUCAGAUCUAUCUCCAAAACUCCUGGUGCUCCUUUUGCUAUUGUCACUUCCCUUGCUGAUCUUGCCUGGACACCUCAAGACAGUCCAAGGACAAGAUGCUGUCUAAGAGACCUGCAUUAUAAAGGUUGCCCAUCUGCACACAGCUGGAGCAGCAGUGAGAGACCAGCCCUGAAGUACACUUACUCAGAGUGGAAGGUCAUCCUGGGCACAACUGUGUUUUCUGGCAAGGUGUUUGGAAACUCCUUUGAGGUACCUGUAAUCAGGAGAACAACUUCAAAAAUGUCUGAGCCAAUUUCCCCACACUGCCUCAAACUUGGAAUAGAUAGAAAAAGAGUCAAGUUGAUUUAAUGUAUAGCUAUGGAUGCUCAUCCAGUGAGAAAUGUGAAGUUCUGUCAAAACCCUUGACCAUGCAAAACAGGAAGAAGAUAAAAAGUGGAAUAUUGUGGGACCUGAGCAUUCAAAUAUCUUUAGAUACUUUUGGAAGACUCUGUCUGUGGGACUGCACCUUGAAGAUGGAGCCCAGCUGGUGGCAGGUUGGGUUGGCAGGAGCUCACUAGUUGGCAUCAGUCAAAUUUAAAGACCAAACCAGGAGCAAAAACUAUGUGUGGUUAAGGAUCCAUUUGGAAUGCUAGUCUUUAUUUUCUUUUUUUUUUUUCUGUGUGCUUAUUUUUUUACCAAGUAGAGUUACUUUCUUUGAUUAAUAGAACACAGCAAGGUUAUUUAGAACUGGAAAUUUGAUAUCUCUACUGCAUCAGACUUAACAUUCAUUUCAAAGACAUCUCUUUAUCAGGGAAUGGCUUCUUAGGGCCAGCCUCAGGAUUGCAUUACAGCUCCUAUCUGUGCUGAAACUGUUGUGUAUCAGGAGGUCAGUGUAAGUAGUAAAAGUCUGUAGCCUGGAAUAAUCAACCUGACACAGACAACCUAACCCCCACAUUAUAAUUAGCAUGCCAGGACUUAAUUCCUUGCUAAAACACAG